rnacentral:misc_RNA from 1 species
AAAAAGAGAAACUAGGGAAUGGAUUAAUAAACAAACCCCACUGUGCCAGAUCGGUUACCUACCAUCAGCCGAGGUGAAUGAAUCAGCAAACCCCGGAGGCCUCGUCGGUAUGCUGGUCUGAGUAUUAUCCAUGCUCGCCAGGAAUGACGACGUCGAACCAUCGUCCUCAAAAGCCUGCCACUUCUUCAGCACCUGCGGCAGUGUCAUGUCCAGAUCGAUCCCAUAGCUGUCCUCUGAGUCUGGGUCAGUCGGUUUCCAGAUCUCUGCGAGGGAGGAGAGCACAUUUACGGCGUGGCCCAUGUCUGGUCUCUG